rnacentral:rRNA from 1 species
ACAACUGUGAUGCCCUUAGUGAAUGGAGAAUGAAACGGGCAGAGCCCAGCACCGAACCGCCGGCUUCCGGUCGCGUGGCAUGUGGUGUUUUGGAAAGCUACCUUGGCAGCUCGAACGACCCGUCAAAGUCCAUCUUGACUGGGGCCAUGGUCCGUAGAGGGUGAUAGGCCCGUAAGACGGUCGAUCGGCUGUGCCGGCUUUUCCGUAGAGUCGAGUUGCUUGGGAGUGCAGCUCAAAGUGUGUGGUAAACUCCACAUAAGGCUAGAUAUGACCCCGAGACCGAUAGCGAACAAGUACCGUGAGGGAAAGUUGAAAAGAACUUUGAAGAGAGAGUUCAAUAGUACGUGAAACUGUGUAGUGGUAAACGGAGGGCUUUCCUCGAAGUCUGCAUCGGAGGUUCAGGCUGGCGCCGGCUCCGCCGGGGCGUUUGGGAUCCGCAAGGACCCUGCGUCCCGUGCCGGAGUCGGCGGCGGCAGCACUUCUCCGGUGCUUCACGCGACGUACCGCUUCCACCGCACCGUGGCCCCGGGUAGAGUUCGUUCCUUGUGUUCGAAUCCCGGGUGCCUGGCUGCGGGGGCGGCGGGUAUCUGAGCGGUCUCGUAUAGCGAGCGACUGCCCUGUUGCGGGCCGCAUCUCUGUCGCGAGUAGGUCGGCGGGCCCUCCGACCCGUCUUGAAACACGGACCAAGGAGUCUAACAUGUGUGCGAGUCAUUGGGUUGUCUAAGCUCAUAGGCGCAGUGAAAGCAAAGGGCACUUGUGCCUGAGGGGUGAUUCCGUACGGACGCAGCCCCGUCGCUUCGCAUCGACCUCGCAUCGUGCGGAGCAGAAAGAGCACACACGUUGGGACCCGAAAGAUGGUGAACUAUGCCUGGCCAGGUUGAAGUCAGGGGAAACCCUGAUGGAGGACCGUAGCGAUUCUGACGUGCAAAUCGAUCGUCGAUGCUGGGUAUAGGGGCGAAAGACUAAUCGAACCAUCUAG